rnacentral:rRNA from 1 species
AUUGAACGCUGGCGGCAUGCCUUACACAUGCAAGUCGAACGGCAGCGGACCUUCGGGUGCCGGCGAGUGGCGAACGGGUGAGUAAAGUAUCGGAACGUGCCUUUCAGUGGGGGAUAACGUAGCGAAAGUUACGCUAAUACCGCAUAUUCUCUGAGGAGGAAAGCAGGGGACCUUCGGGCCUUGCGCUGAUAGAGCGGCCGAUAUCAGAUUAGCUAGUUGGUGAGGUAAAGGCUCACCAAGGCGACGAUCUGUAGCGGGUCUGAGAGGAUGAUCCGCCACACUGGAACGGGGACACGGUCCAGACUCCUACGGGAGGCAGCAGUGGGGAAUUUUGGACAAUGGGGGCAACCCUGAUCCAGCCAUGCCGCGUGUGUGAAGAAGGCCUUCGGGUUGUAAAGCUCUUUCGGCCGGGAAGAAAUCGCGCCAGUUAAUACCUGGUGUGGAUGACGGUACCGGAAUAAGAAGCACCGGCUAACUACGUGCCAGCCGCCGCGGUAAGAC